rnacentral:rRNA from 1 species
GACGAACGCUGGCGGCGUGCCUAAUACAUGCAAGUUGAGCGCUGAAGGUUGGUACUUGUACCAACUGGAUGAGCAGCGAACGGGUGAGUAACGCGUGGGGAAUCUGCCUUUGAGCGGGGGACAACAUUAGGAAACGAAUGCUAAUACCGCAUAAAAACUUUAAACACAAGUUUUAAGUUUGAAAGAUGCAAUUGCAUCACUCAAAGAUGAUCCCGCGUUGUAUUAGCUAGUUGGUGAGGUAAAGGCUCACCAAGGCGAUGAUACAUAGCCGACCUGAGAGGGUGAGCGGCCACAUUGGGACUGAGACACGGCCCAAACGCCUUCGGGAGGCAGCAGUAGGGAAUCUUCGGCAAGGGACGAAAGUCUGUACGAGCAACGCCGCGGGAGGGAAGAAGGGUGUCGGAUCGGAAAACUCGGUUGGUAGAGAAGAAAGUUGGUGAGAGUGGAAAGCUCAUCAAGUGACGGUAACUACUCAGAAAGGGACGGCUAACUACGUG